GAACGCAUAUUGCACUCUCUGGUAUUCCGGAGAGUAUGCCUGUUUGAGGGUCUGUUAAAUAAAAAUCGGGGUUGUUGCUGCUUUUUGUGGUGACGCUUCGGAAUUGGGUAGUCUUACCUUCGGGUUUAAGUGACCUAAAAUUUUUACAUGAUUUUUCGAACGUAUUUAAAUCUUUUACGUACGUUUGGUUAUAUCGAAUAUAUUAGGUGUGGUCAUCCUCAUGAUUCACGUCCAUAAUUUUUUUCAUUUUUAGACCUCAAAUCAGGUAAGAACACCCGCUGAACUUAAG
rnacentral:misc_RNA from 1 species